AGUGAACGCUGGCGGUAGGCCUAACACAUGCAAGUCGAACGGCAGCACAGUAAGAGCUUGCUCUUACGGGUGGCGAGUGGCGGACGAGUGAGGAAUACAUCGGAAUCUACUUUUUCGUGGGGGAUAACGUAGGGAAACUUACGCUAAUACCGCAUACGACCUACGGGUGAAAGCAGGGGAUCUUCGGACCUUGCGCGACUGAAUGAGCCGAUGUCGGAUUAGCUAGUUGGCGGGGUAAAGGCCCACCAAGGCGACGAUCCGUAGCUGGUCUGAGAGGAUGAUCGGCCACACUGGAACUGAGACACGGUCCAGACUCCUACGGGAGGCAGCAGUAGGGAAUCUUGGACAAUGGGCGCAAGCCUGAUCCAGCCAUACCGCGUGAGUGAAGAAGGCCUUCGGGUUGUAAAGCCCUUUUGUUGGGAAAGAACAGCAGCAGGUUAAUCCCCCGCUGUUCUGACGGUACCCAAAGAAUAAGCACCGGCUAACUUCGUG
rnacentral:rRNA from 1 species